GUCUAUGACCAUACCACACUGAAUGCACCCAAUCUAUCUGAUCUUGGAAGCUUAGCAGUGUUGGGCUUCGGGAAAUGUUUGCUCCUAUUGCAGAACACUUGCAGAUC
ensembl:rRNA 5S_rRNA 5S ribosomal RNA